rnacentral:sRNA from 1 species
GUACCAUUGGGGGCUGUUAUACCAGGACACAUGGAGAUGAAGAACUAAAGCAAAAUACUGUCUACUUCACAGUUUUGCCUAAGGCUGGGCUUAAUUCUUAAAAAUAUAAAACUCUGCAAAGAAAGUGUCUAGCACUUAUAUCUCCAGUAACUCCUGUCAAGGUUUGUUGUUGCUUGUUCAUCUUUGCAGUCCUGACUACAAGUGUGAUUGCACUUUCUAUUGUUCUGUCAGAAUUUCCUGAAAAGAUACAAAGGCCCUUCUGACCAUUGGAUUGGCCUUAGAAGAGAAUCAUCCCAUCACAUUUGGGAAUGGACAGACAACAUGGAAUAUAAUAACACUUUUCACACAUUUAUAAAACAAUUUGGGAGGAGACUGGAAAUCAUCUUGACUGAAGACCACCAAUGGCAGCAGUUCAUUUGGGCUUGCUAUCAGAGGAGGUGGAGAAUGUGCCUUCCUGAAUGACAAUGGAGUAAACAGUGACAGAAUCUACAUAAACAGAAAAUGGAUUUGUAGCAAGCCAAACAGUUAUGUCUACAGUUGCCAGUUAUGUCCCCACUGAGAUACUACCUAGUAGAGCUGUGAGAAGAGGGCCACCAUCCUCCAGACUCCAGAAUGGUAGACUCAUCAGCAGCUUCCACCAUGCCCCUGGAAAAACUGCAAGUAACAGACCUGCACAUGGAUCCCCUAAAUCUAAAAUAAAAGUUGGAAAAAAUGGAACUUUGAUAUUAAGAUGCACUGAUACAAAACUUAAAUUUUGGUCUCCUACAUUAAAACAAUAUGAGUCUCUUAAAAUAUUGAUUUG